AUCAGAGAAGAAACAACACCACCCCCAAAAUUUCCAAUCACCGUCUGCGACGCUAGUUGGACUGAGCAGGGCAGUAAAAUUUGAAAAACCCUCGAUUCAGGGUUUAUUUUGCUCAUUCUCCAAUCUCUUCAUCGAUCUCUCGUAGGCGAAAAUGGCGAAAGAGCAACAGUCAGCCCCAGGUCCCUGGAUCCCUGAUGCAAUACCUUUCAUCCUUGUUCUCAUCAUAGCAGCUCAUGUCUUCGCUYUGGUAUACUGGAUUUAUAGGCUAGCAACCCAAAAACAACCUCCGAGGAGGAAGGCGCACUGAGUUACUGUAUGAUUCAUUCCCYAAAGAAACUCUAGUCAAACCCUAAUUCGUUAAUUGUUAUGUGACACUGAUGUUAAUUAGGCGGUCGAAAGGAGCCAUUUACCAAUGUUUCAGUCGCUGUAAGUAUCGUACUUUGGUACUGUAAGAAUGUAGCAAAUUUUCUUGCAUUUAAAUUUGUAUUUGUAUGGAUUUUCAAUUCAUGAAACUAUUAGAGGAGCCACAUAUUUGUGUCUUGUUUGGUGUUGGUUA